GGCAGAUUCUUUACCAACUGAGCUAUCAGGGAAGCCCAAGGCAAUGUCCAAACGCUCACAGCUAUCUCUCAAACAUCUGAUCCUUUGUUCAAUCACAGCCCUCUCUCUUGUCAGGGCGUCUCAAGAACUGGAAGCGAUGGUAAUGAAUGGCGAGGCGUAAGGAUCUUGAAAAUAAUUUUCCACGGCCCCUGGGUCUCAGCCUUCUCCCGGGAGACGGAUGAAUCAGAAUUCAUUUUGAAUGAUUAAGCCCUUUGCCAGCUUCCGGCGCCCAGAUGAGAGAAUUCAGUGAUGAUGCUACCUGCUGUUCGUGAAGCCAGCCCUCACCAAAUGCGUGAGGGCCAUAAAGAUCGCUGCGGAGAUGGCAGGACUGGCCUUGAUUAACAAAGAACACCAAGCUCGAGCCGACCACAGGAAGUGUAGCCGCAGACACGUUGCCCCGCUCAGCUCAGCACACUCUCAAAUUAAAGGCAAAGGCUAAUGAAGUCUGACAAAAUCUGAGCUCCCCCUC
ensembl:lncRNA